GUGAGUUUUUCAUUAUUUGACAGGGUCUUGGAGGUGUUAGACAUAACAAACAACAAAGGGCAGCAAGUUCCAUGAGCAUUAGCAUGGCCAUUCAGUUGCUAUGGCACAAUCAAACUUAACCAGAAAAAGGGAAAAAUAAGGUGCAUGACCAUCUGCAUAGUCAUGCAUAUGGUUAUGCAUAAAAAAAGGGUGACGGAGAAUGAGAGUUCCAGGUAGCAAACAGCAUGGGCAACUGCAUGUUCAU
rnacentral:lncRNA from 1 species